rnacentral:rRNA from 1 species
ACGUACUACUCUCUAUAUAAGUGCUUAUCAAGUUGAGCACCCAUUGCACAGAUUGUUAGCUUGCAAUCCAAGUAGAAAUACAGCAAGGGAGGAAGCACAGAGUCGAACGAUCGAGGAUGGCGAAGAAGAACUCCUCUGCGACCUCGGUUCGGCUGAUGCUGAUCCUCCUGGUUUUACUGGUUUUCGUUGGAGGCAUCCUCGCACGAGGUGGGCCGACCACCUGCAGCAACCCUGCUGCUCAGCGAAACUGCCCGCCGAUCCGUAAUGGCGGCUCAUAAGCACAACAUGGAGCACGAAGGGUUUAGUAGGCUCUCGCAUUCGCCGGCGUCGAUUUUGUUCUGAACCGAAUAAUAUUGUAUGUUCUUGAUGCGUCGAUUGUUGUGUGUGUGUUGAUGUUCCCCGUAUUUUUGUUUGUAUUGUGGCCUGGUUUAUAAAUAAAUAGUACUACAAUGAGUCGGGAAGUUCUCUUGCCCAUGCUGGACUUUGAUUAUUGGAUC